rnacentral:rRNA from 1 species
UACGGAGGGUGCAAGCGUUAUCCGGAUUCACUGGGUUUAAAGGGUGCGUAGGUGGGUAUGUAAGUCAGUGGUGAAAUCCCCGGGCUUAACCUGGGAACUGCAUUUGUGACUGCAUGGCUGGAGUGCGGCAGAGGGGGAUGGAAUUCCGCGUGUAGCAGUGAAAUGCGUAGAUAUGCGGAGGAACACCGAUGGCGAAGGCAAUCCCCUGGGCCUGCACUGACGCUCAUGCACGAAAGCGUGGGGAGCAAACAGG